rnacentral:lncRNA from 1 species
UGUCAUUAAUUCAUAAUUGUUUUAGUGACUAAUUCUGUAUCCUGUUAAAUUCCACUGCUUUUUCCGUGCGUGUACCAGACACCAGCUGAUGGUCCAACAGGAGGACUGUGCCCAGCAGGAAGUUACUGCCCCCCGGCCUCUUCCUCACCCCUGCCCUGCCCUCCUGGAACCUUCAGCAACACCUCUGGCCUCGGGAAAGCCCAGGAGUGCGUCAGCUGUCCGCCAGGGUGACAAAUCCUCUACUCGCUCACCCUGCGUCUCAUCAAUAUGACUUUUCACAUACCGUGUUCGUUUUCUCUCGAACCACACCCUGUGCGGAGGGAGCCUCUGUUUCUUAACGUCCGCACGUGUCUUUCAGAUUCUAUUGUCUAGGCUACAACAGCACCUCACCUUCAGGCGCUUGUUUCGCUGGUUUCUACUGUAACGGAGGGUCGGCUUCCCCCGUUCAGAACGAAGCGGACGCGGGUCAUUUUACCGCGGAGGGGGCGUUCAGGUCGCAGCCGUGUCCUCUUGGCACAUUUCAGCCGGUGGGUAAUAACCUGGGCAGAAUACAGAGGGUGUACUGUUAAAAAUCACUAAUGAGGUGAAGGCAUAUUGAAGGCUAUUCCCAUGUCUCUAAAUCCCCAUCAGCAUCGAGGCUCACAGGCGUGUGUGGAGUGUCAGGGAGGCAGACUGUGUAACCAGACGGGCUUGUCUCAGGCUCCUCUGUGUCCCACGGGACACUACUGUCCUCCAGGGUCUCCUGUUGCUCGGCCCUGCCCCCCAGUUAGUAUCUGCAUGUGCUUGUAAAACGUGUUCUUCUCAUUAAAUUUGCGUAUCUAAUACUGAACGUCAUGCUGUGUGAUUGUUAUCACGAAGGGCUCUUACUCUGACCAGCCCGGUGGUGAAGCUGCGGAGCACUGUCGGCCGUGCGAGGCCGGCUGGUUCUGCAGCCGAGUGGGUCUGUCGGAACCUCAGGCUCCCUGUGACCCUGGACAUUACUGCACCUCAGGCGCCUCCACUGCUUCUCCAGUGGCUGUGGCGUCUGGGGGCGUGUGUCCUGCCGGCUACAUCUGUCCACGGGGGACAAAGUACCCCCAGCAGCACCCCUGUCCUCUGGGAACCUUUAGCAGCGCUGUGGGAGCCCAGAACUCGUCUUCCUGCCUGUCGUGUCCCCCAGGACUCUACUGCAACAGCACUGGACUUAGUCAGGCCUCAGGAAUCUGUGACCCAGGGUAUUACUGUUCAGGAGGGGCAGUGUCUCCAGUGCCCACGGAUGGCGUGACCGGGGACGUUUGUCCGCUCGGACACUUCUGUCCCAUGGGCUCAGC